rnacentral:rRNA from 1 species
UGACUUGAGUNCAGAAGGGGAGAGUGGAAUNCCAUGUGUAGCGGUGAAAUGCGUAGAUAUAUGGAGGAACACCAGUGGCGAAAGCGGCUCUCUGNUCUGUCACUGACGCUGAGGCUUGAAAGCGUGGGUAGCGAACAGGAUUAGAUACCCUGGUAGUCCACGCCGUAAACGAUGAGUGCUAGGUGUUAGGCCCUUUCCGGGGCUUAGUGCCGGAGCUAACGCAAUAAGCACUCCGCCUGGGGAGUACGACCGCAAGGUUGAAACUCAAAGGAAUUGACGGGGGCCCGCACAAGCGGUGGAGCAUGUGGUUUAAUUCGAAGCAACGCGAAGAACCUUACCAGGUCUUGACAUCCCGAUGCUAUUCUUAGAGAUAGGAAGUUACUUCGGUACAUCGGAGACAGGUGGUGCAUGGUUGUCGUCAGCUCGUGUCGUGAGAUGUUGGGUUAAGUCCCGCAACGAGCGCAACCCUUAUUGUUAGUUGCCAUCAUUAAGUUGGGCACUCUAGCGAGACUGCCGGUAUAAACCGGAGGAAGGUGGGGAUGACGUCAAAUCAUCAUGCCCCUUAUGACCUGGGCUACACACGUGCUACAAUGGUCGGUACAACGAGUUGCGAGCCGGUGACGGCAAGCUAAUCUCUGAAAGCCGAUCUCAGUUCGGAUUGGAGGCUGCAACUCGCCUCCAUGAAGUCGGAAUCGCUAGUAAUCGCGGAUCAGCACGCCGCGGUGAAUACGUUCCCGGGCCUUGUACACACCGCCC